rnacentral:rRNA from 1 species
GCUACCUGCAGUCGACGGUGAGCCAGCUUGCUUGGUGGAUCAGUGGCGAACGGGUGAGUAACACGUGAGCAACCUGCCCUGGACUCUGGGAUAAGCGCUGGAAACGGCGUCUAAUACUGGAUAUGAGCCCCUAUCGCAUGGUGGGGGUUGGAAAGAUUUUUUGGUCUGGGAUGGGCUCGCGGCCUAUCAGCUUGUUGGUGAGGUAAUGGCUCACCAAGGCGUCGACGGGUAGCCGGCCUGAGAGGGUGACCGGCCACACUGGGACUGAGACACGGCCCAGACUCCUACGGGAGGCAGCAGUGGGGAAUAUUGCACAAUGGGCGAAAGCCUGAUGCAGCAACGCCGCGUGAGGGAUGACGGCCUUCGGGUUGUAAACCUCUUUUAGCAGGGAAGAAGCGAAAGUGACGGUACCUGCAGAAAAAGCGCCGGCUAACUACGUGCCAGCAGCCGCGGUAAUACGUAGGGCGCAAGCGUUAUCCGGAAUUAUUGGGCGUAAAGAGCUCGUAGGCGGUUUGUCGCGUCUGCUGUGAAAUCCCGAGGCUCAACCUCGGGCCUGCAGUGGGUACGGGCAGACUAGAGUGCGGUAGGGGAGAUUGGAAUUCCUGGUGUAGCGGUGGAAUGCGCAGAUAUCAGGAGGAACACCGAUGGCGAAGGCAGAUCUCUGGGCCGUAACUGACGCUGAGGAGCGAAAGGGUGGGGAGCAAACAGGCUUAGAUACCCUGGUAGUCCACCCCGUAAACGUUGGGAACUAGUUGUGGGGACCAUUCCACGGUUUCCGUGACGCAGCUAACGCAUUAAGUUCCCCGCCUGGGGAGUACGGCCGCAAGGCUAAAACUCAAAGGAAUUGACGGGGACCCGCACAAGCGGCGGAGCAUGCGGAUUAAUUCGAUGCAACGCGAAGAACCUUACCAAGGCUUGACAUAUACGAGAACGGGCCAGAAAUGGUCAACUCUUUGGACACUCGUAAACAGGUGGUGCAUGGUUGUCGUCAGCUCGGGCCGUGAAAUGUUGGGUUAAGUCCGGCAACGAGCGCAACCCUCGUUCAUUGUUGCCAGACCGAAUGGGGGGAACUCUGGGAAACUGCCGGGGUCACCCCGAGGAAGGGG